rnacentral:tRNA from 3 species
UGGCGGAUCGUCUAGUGGUAGGACGGCAGACUCUGGAUCUGCUAACCGAGGUUCGAAUCCUCGUCCGCCAGCCA